rnacentral:rRNA from 1 species
CCUACGGGAGGCAGCAGUGGGGAAUCUUGCGCAAUGGGGGAAACCCUGACGCAGCGACGCCGCGUGGGCGAUGAAGGCCUUCGGGUCGUAAAGCCCUGUCGGCAGGGAGUAAAUUCAGCGGGCGAACAGUCCGUUGACUUGAACGUACCUGCGGAGGAAGCACCGGCUAACUCUGUGCCAGCAGCCGCGGUAAUACAGAGGGUGCAAGCGUUGUUCGAAAUCAUUGGGCGUAAAGCGCACGUAGGCGGUGCGGUCAGUCUGAUGUGAAAUCCCCCGGCUCAACCGGGGAGGGUCAUUGGAUACUGCCGCGCUAGAGUACCGGAGAGGGUGAUGGAAUUCCUGGUGUAGAGGUGAAAUUCGUUGAUAUCAGGAGGAACACCUGAGGCGAAAGCGGUCACCUGGAAGGUCACUGACGCUGAGGUGCGAAGGUAUGGGGGAGCAAAACAGGAUUAGAUACCCUGGUAGUCCAUACAGUAAACGAUGGGCACUAGUCGUUGCGGGUCUUUACCCCCGGNAGUGACGCAGCUAACGCGAUAGUCGCCCCGCGUAGGGGAGUACCGGCCGACGUAAAGGUUAAAACUUAAAGUAGAAGUUGGACGGU